rnacentral:misc_RNA from 1 species
CCUUUCAUUGCAGCAGAAUUGGGAUGGUUGAGUAUCUCGCCUCUCCGUUCUGCCUGUAUUCUACCCUUGUUUGUCAUAUACUAUUAUUUCCUCGGCAGGCUUGCCUGCCGAGUGAAACCAUUUAUAACCUUUUUAGUUUUCAAUCAGCGUCUGAAAAAAUUAAUAAUUA